rnacentral:rRNA from 1 species
UACGGGGGGGGCAAGCGUUGUUCGGAAUUACUGGGCGUAAAGGGCUCGUAGGCGGCCAACUAAGUCAUACGUGAAAUCCCUCGGCUUAACCGGGGAACUGCGUCUGAUACUGGAUGGCUUGAGUUCGGGAGAGGGAUGCGGAAUUUCAGGUGUAGCGGUGAAAUGCGUAGAUAUCUGGAGGAACACCGGUGGCGAAGGCGGCAUCCUGGACCGAUACUGACGCUGAGGAGCGAAAGCCAGGGGAGCAAACGGG